rnacentral:rRNA from 1 species
GUCCUUUAGGACAAUGGUAGGAGAGCGUUCUAAGGGCGUUGAAGCAUGAUCGCAAGGACAUGUGGAGCGCUUAGAAGUGAGAAUGCCGGGGUGAGUAGCGAAAGACGGGUGAGAAUCCCGUCCACCGAUUGACUAAGGUUUCCAGAGGAAGGCUCGUCCGCUCUGGGUUAGUCGGGUCCUAAGCUGAGGCCGACAGGCGUAGGCGAUGGAUAACAGG